rnacentral:tRNA from 6 species
GCGCCCGUAGCUCAACGGAUAGAGCAUCUGACUACGGAUCAGAAGGUUGCAGGUUCGAGUCCUGCCGGGCGCG